rnacentral:rRNA from 1 species
AUUGAACGCUGGCGGCAGGCCUAACACAUGCAAGUCGAGCGAGCGGCGGACGGGUGAGUAAUGUCUGGGAAACUGCCUGAUGGAGGGGGAUAACUACUGGAAACGGUAGCUAAUAUCGCAUACCAUCAGAUGUGCCCAGAUGGGAUUAGCUAGUAGGUUGGGUAACGGCUCACCUCGGCGACGAUCCCUAGCGGGUCUGAGAGGAUAACCAGCCACACUGGAACUGAGACACGGUCCAGACUCCUACGGGAGGCGGCAGUGGGGAAUAUUGCACAAUGGACGGAAGCCGGAUGCGGCCAUGCCGCGUGUGUGAAAGAGGCCUUCGGGUUGUAAAGCACUUUCAGCGGGGAGGCGUUACCCGCAGAAGAAGCACCGGCUAACUCCGUGCCAGCAGCCGCGGUAAUUC